UAAUAACUCAAUAAUUUAUUUAAUAUUUUAAUUGAAUUGAUAUUCAAUUUGUAUCAAUUUCUUAUCAAAAUUUAUAAUUUAAUAUCUUAAUUCAAUUGAUCAUCUAUCUAUAUUGAUGGAUGGAUCGGUUCGGAUUUUAAAACAUUACUAUAGUUAAAACUAUCAUAGUUAAUUUAAUUUGUUGCUAUGAUUAUUUUUGAAAUUCAAAAUACACAUGAUUCUUUCCCUUUAAGACAUCCCUAUUAAAAAUUCAUAAAUUUAUUCAACCCAAAAAAAUAAAAAAUAAAAAAUAAAAAUAAAAAAGCAACUUUUCUGCAAAAGCUAUGACUAAUACUAUAU
rnacentral:lncRNA from 1 species